AUUGAACGCUGGCGGCAGGCCUAACACAUGCAAGUCGAGCGGAUGAAGGGAGCUUGCUCCUGGAUUCAGCGGCGGACGGGUGAGUAAUGCCUAGGAAUCUGCCUGGUAGUGGGGGAUAACGUCCGGAAACGGGCGCUAAUACCGCAUCCGUCCUGAGGGAGAAAGUGAGGGAUCUUCGGACCUCACGCUAUCAGAUGAGCCUAGGUCGGAUUAGCUAGUUGGUGGGGUAAAGGCCUACCAAGGCGACGAUCCGUAACUGGUCUGAGAGGAUGAUCAGUCACACUGGAACUGAGACACGGUCCAGACUCCUACGGGAGGCAGCAGUGGGGAAUAUUGGACAAUGGGCGAAAGCCUGAUCCAGCCAUGCCGCGUGUGUGAAGAAGGUCUUCGGAUUGUAAAGCACUUUAAGUUGGGAGGAAGGGCAGUAAGUUAAUACCUUGCUGUUUUGACGGUACCAACAGAAUAAGCACCGGCUAACUUCGUG
rnacentral:rRNA from 1 species